UGUUAAGCGUGAACCUAUCCCGAACCUGAUUCCUGUAAGAUUGACAACCCUGUCGGAUCUGACUUCUGAAAU
ensembl:snoRNA